GACGAACGCUGGCGGCGUGCUUAACACAUGCAAGUCGAGCGGAAAGGCCCUUUCGGGGGUACUCGAGCGGCGAACGGGUGAGUAACACGUGAGUAAUCUGCCCUGGACUCUGGGAUAGCCACCGGAAACGGUGAUUAAUACCGGAUAUGACACCUUGCUGCAUGGUGGGGUGUGGAAAGUUUUUUCGGUCCAGGAUGUGCUCGCGGCCUAUCAGCUUGUUGGUGAGGGAAUGGCUCACCAAGGCUUUGACGGGUAGCCGGCCUGAGAGGGUGACCGGUCACACUGGGACUGAGACACGGCCCAGACGCCUACGGGAGGCAGCAGUGGGGAAUAUUGGACAAUGGGCGGAAGCCUGAUCCAGCAACGCCGCGUGAGGGAUGACGGCCUUCGGGUUGUAAACCUCUUUCAGUACCGACGAAGCGAAAGUGACGGUAGGUACAGAAGAAGGACCGGCCAACUACGUGCCAGCCGCCGCAGUAACAC
rnacentral:rRNA from 1 species